GAUUAGGAGACGUUGAAUACAAAACACCACUUUAUAUAAUUCAGUAUAUGGUCAGCAAUGGCUGUAUAUUGUUUGUAUAAAGUCCAGGUGAAUGACUCC
rnacentral:rRNA from 3 species